UACGUAGGGUCCGAGCGUUGUCCGGAAUUAUUGGGCGUAAAGGGCUCUUAGGCGGUUUGUCGCGUCGGGAGUGAAAACUCAGGGCUCAACCCUGAGCGUGCUUCCGAUACGGGCAGACUAGAGGUAUUCAGGGGAGAACGGAAUUCCUGGUGUAGCGGUGGAAUGCGCAGAUAUCAGGAGGAACACCGGUGGCGAAGGCGGUUCUCUGGGAAUUACCUGACGCUGAGGAGCGAAAGCAUGGGGAGCGAACAGG
rnacentral:rRNA from 1 species